GGCGCACGGGUGCGGAACACGUGUGCAACCUGCCUUUAUCUGGGGGAUAGCCUUUCGAAAGGAAGAUUAAUACCCCAUAAUAUACUGGAUGGCAUCAUCUGGUAUUGAAAACUCCGGUGGAUAGAGAUGGGCACGCGCAAGAUUAGAUAGUUGGUGAGGUAACGGCUCACCAAGUCAGCGAUCUUUAGGGGGCCUGAGAGGGUGAUCCCCCACACUGGUACUGAGACACGGACCAGACUCCUACGGGAGGCAGCAGUGAGGAAUAUUGGACAAUGGGUGAGAGCCUGAUCCAGCCAUCCCGCGUGAAGGACGACGGCCCUAUGGGUUGUAAACUUCUUUUGUAUAGGGAUAAACCUAGAUACGUGUAUCUAGCUGAAGGUACUAUACGAAUAAGCACCGGCUAACUCCGUGCCAGCAGCCGCGGUAAUACGGAGGGUGCAAGCGUUAUCCGGAUUUAUUGGGUUUAAAGGGUCCGUAGGCUGAUUUGUAAGUCAGUGGUGAAAUCUCACAGCUUAACUGUGAAACUGCCAUUGAUACUGCAAGUCUUGAGUGUUGUUGAAGUAGCUGGAAUAAGUAGUGUAGCGGUGAAAUGCAUAGAUAUUACUUAGAACACCAAUUGCGAAGGCAGGUUACUAAGCAACAACUGACGCUGAUGGACGAAAGCGUGGGGAGCGAACAGGAUUAGAUACCCUGGUAGUCCACGCCGUAAACGAUGCUAACUCGUUUUUGGGUUUUCGGAUUCAGAGACUAAGCGAAAGUGAUAAGUUAGCCACCUGGGGAGUACGAACGCAAGUUUGAAACUCAAAGGAAUUGACGGGGGCCCGCACAAGCGGUGGAUUAUGUGGUUUAAU
rnacentral:rRNA from 1 species